GAGGUGAGAACACGAAGAGCUAUAUGGAGUUAAUAGGGACUAACUGCCUAAGCUUUUUAUCUGCUUUCUCCUUAGUGUUUUGAUUCAAUGAGAACCUGAAAGAUUACUAAGUUUUGAGAAUAGACCAUUUGCCACGUUGAAAGCCAAAAAGGAAGUAGGUGUGUGACAUUUAUAUGCAGAAAUAUCACGCCUCGGUCUCAUCAAACAUGUUUUAAGAAAACUAAUAGAAUGGAAUAUGGAUUUCCCCACUGGAUACAUUUUCAGUUCCCAAAAUAGCUACUUCUUGUGGUCCAGACCUCCAUUGGCUACACAAGUCGAUAAAGCAUAAAACUGCAGUAACUGCUGCCGCAGUUAUUUUGUUGCUUUUCAAAUUCUUCCAUGAAAAGACCAUUAUGGAAGUCACCAAGUGCUCGGUACUGAUAUCUAAGGUAUCACAUAAUAGCAUAUCAUCAACAAACAAUGCCAAGAAAGAAUUCAAUGUUGCUAAAGCAUAACAUAUUCAUCGAUUUCUGAUCAAUAAAGCUUCACUUAACUACCCAACAAAAUAGGCUAGUGGAUUGGCAUGUACCUGGUUCUCAAAAAAGGUGAAAUUCAGGUAAACAUCGAAACGUCGUGCAUAAGUAACAUUUGUCGGGACCCAUUUAACAGAAUAUGUCAUGUCCAAGACCCUUCCUUCCUCCAAUGGCUUUGGGCUCUCUUGAUACAGUUGGACAAAAAUGAUCUAAAGGACUUCGAUUAGAGUUAGAUCAUCAACACAAUAUUGCAGAUCAUUGACAUACCACAAGGCAUUAAGAACUAAAAACAAAGUGCCUACCCGGUUUCCGUUGUACUUAAUAAGAAGAUUCUUGUGUGUAUAAAUUACAUGCUUGAUAUCUUGAUUUCUUUGAGGAUGCACCUCGCCCACGAAACCUGAUACCAAGUGAGUGUUUAUUUAUGUUAUAACUGUCCAUGGUAAUGAGAAACAUUACAGAUAAACUAGCUAAGAACAUACCCCACAUUGGCAAAUCAUCUGAAGCCAGGAAGUCAUAACCCAAAACAAACAUUACAAAGAGAGAGAAGUUUAGAAUUAGUACACUUCAGGCAUGCAUAUAACUGUUGAAAAGAACUCACAGUAUCAUGGAGAAAUGUCAGUACCCAUAAAAAAUUCAAACCAAUACAUAUUGUCAAUUGCAUAUAUAAACUGUGCCACUUUUGAUGCAUCCAAUUUAAGUUCACAAAUUGAGCUUUUCUCCACAUCUCCUGUUGAACAAAAAAUGUUUAGUUGUAAAAGGAAACUGUUUCAAAGCAUAAAGCUCCAUCAUAAAAUUUGAAGAACAGACUUUUAAACUUUAUGUCAAUUCGGCUAUCAAUAAGAUCAUUUCCUCCAAGAACCUCGCCAAGGCUACUCCGCUUGUGAUCACCAUCAGCAGGAUGACAAAAUGGAAGGCUAUAAUAACUGUAGGUCUCUUGUGGAUUAUUAUAUGGUGCAGCCUUGUUUACCCAUAGAGUGACAGGAUCAUCUUUUUGAUACUGCAGCAAACAGCACAUCCAUUAGAUAAUUCAUAAGCCAGAUUCUUACAAGUGUUAAAUGCAUAAUUAAUCCUGAGUCAUUAGGUUCUACAAGUUACACCAAGAUUCAUCGUGGUGAGCGGUGGAAGUGGUGAAACAACAUGUAUGGUUCAAAUUUUGGUUGACUCCUUGAUUAGUUUCAUUUAUUAACACAAUAUAUUAUGCAAAUUAGCAUGCACGAUAGAACCUCAUCUCGUAUACAAUUGGUUAGCUUACUCAUAACUAUGACAAAGAAUUAGACGCUCGAGGUAGAUCCUUAUAAAGAAAACAAUGGUUAAGAGAAACUCCUGUCUAUCUCCUUACUUAUUUUUUUGUUGCAUUUAUAUACUUGAUAUGGAUUCUCUUAUUCUCCAACAUCACCCACCAACGGGCUUUCGUUAACACUAUAUAGUAUACUUCUUGUUAAGUUCAAUAAAUAAUAUCUAAAGAACACUCUUCCUUUCCCUAUAAAUCUUUGUAAAUCUUUGAGCAAAAAUAUAUUUUCUACUGUAAAUCUUCCAGACAUAAAUUCAAAUAUUCAAAUUGGUUCAGUGUCACUAUUAAAGUGUGUAAGUAUAACAUAAUAUAUCAAACAUUUCCAAAGUUUCAUCCUAUAAAUAGAUGUAAUACCACUAUAUUUCAACGACUUUUAAUAUCUUCUUUGUUAAAAUAAGGGGAAGAGAAAGAUAAAAAGUUUCAAACAGAAGUAUUUACCUUCUAUAGAUAUAUAAAAAGGUUACUAUAUAAUCAAUCAACUAUGUCACACUAUAAGACUAUUAGAUUGACUAUAUAUAUCCUCUAUAUCCAUUCUACUUCAUUUGGACCCAUUUUAGUCAAAUGAUCAAUAAAUUAUCUUUAUUGCAUUAGCUUUUCAAAAUUUAUCUUUUUUAAGUGAACCCAGAAAGGGAAAUCCAUAAAAUUUGAAAAGCUAAUUAAUGCAGUUUUACUUCAAAGAGUUUCAAAAUUGUACCUUGGCAAUAGUCAGGCAUAUGAGGAAACAAGAGCAGAUGAUGAAAAUGAGGAGGGAUCGGACAGUGGAGAGCAUUGCACAGAGCCGAACAGUGUCUUAAUUGACAAGAAUGAGAUCUCGUUAGUUAGUUAAGUAGGAAAGAAUUUGUGUUGUGUUUUCUUUAGUAUCUAAGUUCAGAUACUGAAGGAAGUGUCUGUUUGCUUUGCGAAAGUGAGAACUCUUUUCCAUUAUAGUGUCGCUGAGACCCCUAGUAUACUCUAUUCAUAGUAAAUGGAUCUGAAUUUUUCUGACGACGACUUUGACUUUUGAGUGCUCAACGACUUCAUAGGAAGCCGCUAGUCUGAAAAAAAGAAACAAAUUUGUGACAUUUUUUUUCCAAUAAUCUUUUUAUUUUUUUGGGUCCAACAGUUAUUGUGAGUGGGUUUUCACCCUUUUCAUGCGAGUUUGAGCUUGGGAGAACAAUUUGAAGAGAGAAUUUAAGAGAAUUUUGUAAAGAUAAGAUUUUUGACCCUAAACUUGUUUCUAUAAUGGGUUUUAACUGAUUAAGCUUGAAAUCGAUGGAAAUUAGUAGUAAAAUUGAGAGUUUAGGGCUUGAAAAUUGGAGACUUUAAUCUAGGAUUUGAGGGGUCAUUUGUGGUCGGAUUUUGGUAUUCUUAGUAUGUAUGAACUCGUGAGAGGAUAAAGAGUUUAUUGAUGUAAUUUUUUAUCGGAUUUCGAGACGUGGUCCCGAGGGUCUGUAUAGGCUAAUUUCAGGAUUUAUGUUGUAAUUUUAUUAUUUUUGCAUGGGCUUAUUUCCUUAGCAUAUUUUGACGUCAUAAUUCUGAUUUUGGAUAGAUUCGACGCGAGUUGAGACCGAGUCGAAAGGCAAGGGCGCCACGAAGUAGUAUUUCAUCCGGGUUGAGGUAAGUAACCAUUGUAAAUCUGGACCUGAGGGUAUGAAACCCCGAUAUUUUAUAUUGUUUUGAUAAAUGAGGUGAUGCACAUGCUAGGUGACAAGCGUGUAGGCGUGCACUCGUAGGGAUUGUGACUUGGUCCGUCCCGUAGCAACUAUUAAUCCGCGUAUUUGAUUUGAAAUCUUACGAUAUUCCGUAUUUUAGAGAUUUAUACUAUAUCUUGGGUUGUACACCGUGUUUAGGGCUUUGCGCCGACAUGUUUAGACCCUUAGGAGUAUUUUUACUACUUUCCUCACUUUGUUUGAUUCGAAAGCAUAUCCUAAGUCAUGUUUUACCUGUUAUUUGUUUAAAACUGGUUUCAUCACUUUAUUUCUUAAUGUAUGAAAAACUGUUUGGGUUGAGUUCCACGAUUUUUACUGACAUGCCCGAGUGGUCGUGAGGUUAAUGAUCGAGAGAGGUUUAGGACUUAAUGGUGAGGAUUAUAUAUCUAUUAUGGAUCGGGCUGCACGCUGCAGCGAUAUACAUGUUGAUCGGGUUGCAUGCUGUAGUGAUAUAUGUAUAUAUAUAAUCAUUUUCACGAGCAUAUUUUGCAUAAUCAUUGCGAAGAGUGCGCAUCAAAAUCAUAGACACCAACCCAGUGAGGAAAACAACCAUCAUGAUGGAAUUCAAAACAGAGAACCAAUGAAUCUGCAAAAGGAACAAGACGUUUUAGGAGGUGAGAACACGAAGAGCUAUAUGGAGUUAAUAGGGACUAACUGCCUAAGCUUUUUAUCUGCUUUCUCCUUAGUGUUUUGAUUCAAUGAGAACCUGAAAGAUUACUAAGUUUUGAGAAUAGACCAUUUGCCACGUUGAAAGCCAAAAAGGAAGUAGGUGUGUGACAUUUAUAUGCAGAAAUAUCACGCCUCGGUCUCAUCAAACAUGUUUUAAGAAAACUAAUAGAAUGGAAUAUGGAUUUCCCCACUGGAUACAUUUUCAGUUCCCAAAAUAGCUACUUCUUGUGGUCCAGACCUCCAUUGGCUACACAAGUCGAUAAAGCAUAAAACUGCAGUAACUGCUGCCGCAGUUAUUUUGUUGCUUUUCAAAUUCUUCCAUGAAAAGACCAUUAUGGAAGUCACCAAGUGCUCGGUACUGAUAUCUAAGGUAUCACAUAAUAGCAUAUCAUCAACAAACAAUGCCAAGAAAGAAUUCAAUGUUGCUAAAGCAUAACAUAUUCAUCGAUUUCUGAUCAAUAAAGCUUCACUUAACUACCCAACAAAAUAGG
rnacentral:lncRNA from 1 species